rnacentral:tRNA from 1 species
GCAGUCGUGGCCGAGUGGUUAAGGCGGUGGACUAGAAAUCCAUUGCGGUCUCCCCGCACAGGUUCGAAUCCUGUCGACUGCG